UAGGGAAUCUUCCGCAAUGGACGCAAGUCUGACGGAGCAACGCCGCGUGAGUGAAGAAGGUUUUCGGAUCGUAAAACUCUGUUGUUAGAGAAGAACAAGUGCUAGAGUAACUGUUAGCGCCUUGACGGUAUCUAACCAGAAAGCCACGGCUAACUACGUGCCAGCAGCCGCGGUAAUACGUAGGUGGCAAGCGUUGUCCGGAUUUAUUGGGCGUAAAGCGAGCGCAGGCGGUUCCUUAAGUCUGAUGUGAAAGCCCCCGGCUCAACCGGGGAGGGUCAUUGGAAACUGGGGAACUUGAGUGCAGAAGAGGAGAGUGGAAUUCCAUGUGUAGCGGUGAAAUGCGUAGAUAUAUGGAGGAACACCAGUGGCGAAGGCGACUCUCUGGUCUGUAACUGACGCUGAGGCUCGAAAGCGUGGGUAGCAAACAGGAUUAGAUACCCUGGUAGUCCACGCUGUAAACGAUGAGUGCUAAGUGUUGGAGGGUUUCCGCCCUUCAGUGCUGCAGUUAACGCAUUAAGCACUCCGCCUGGGGAGUACGACCGCAAGGUU
rnacentral:rRNA from 1 species